rnacentral:rRNA from 1 species
GACGAACGCUGGCGGCGUGCUUAACACAUGCAAGUCGAACGGAAGGGCCCUGCUUUUGUGGGGUGCUCGAGUGGCGAACGGGUGAGUAACACGUGAGUAACCUGCCCUUGACUUUGGGAUAACUUCAGGAAACUGGGGCUAAUACCGGAUAGGAGCUCCUGCUGCAUGGUGGGGUUGGAAAGUUUCGGCGGUUGGGGAUGGACUCGCGGCUUAUCAGCUUGUUGGUGGGGUAGUGGCUUACCAAGGCUUUGACGGGUAGCCGGCCUGAGAGGGUGACCGGCCACAUUGGGACUGAGAUACGGCCCAGACUCCUACGGGAGGCAGCAGUGGGGAAUAUUGCACAAUGGGCGGAAGCCUGAUGCAGCAACGCCGCGUGCGGGAUGACGGCCUUCGGGUUGUAAACCGCUUUCGCCUGUGACGAAGCGUGAGUGACGGUAAUGGGUAAAGAAGCACCGGCUAACUACGUG